AAGCAGAUGCCGGGACAUCCUGCAGAAGUACCCACUGAGGGUUUAGGCUUUCCAAGGCACACAGCCUUUCCUCUUCUGCUGUAAAGAAUGUACACAAACAAGAAGUAAACACAACUUUUCUGCUCAUCUGAGUCCCUGUACCUGAGCAUGAAUGAUCUGAGGGAUUAAGAACGUGGGGAGAAGAGCCUGAGUUGAGCUGAAGAGCAUGCAGUUCCCAGGGCCUGAGCAGAGGGGCUGCAGCACUGCCACCAGCACAGCUCUGCAGAUCUUUCCUGAGGAGAUUCAUACAACAGCAACUGGACUGGUUGCAUUACUGGGGGGAAACUGUAGUCAACAGUUGUUGCAAUGCUGGAGGAACACUGGCCCUUCUGGCUGUAGAAGAGACACACCGUUGGUCAAUCACACCUAAUGACUCUGAUUUAAUGUUGUGAUAUUUGGUACAAUAAUUUACUUUGCAUACUUUUUCCUCUCCUUUUCUGUGAGUCAGUAAUACUAUUUACUAUGAUCUCUAGAGGUCCUUUCCAACUCCUACAAUUCUGUGAUUCUGGGAUUCACUUCGCAUUUUCCAGGGUAUUUUUGUUUCUGCAGUGCUGAGAGCAAGAAAAUUGUCUUGUGAACUGACAUUUGUAUUUCUUGUGUGUCCAGAAGGCAGAUCUCUCAGGACAGCCAUAAUGGCAGACCCUUGAGGCAGCAGAGGCUGGCAGCAGUUCCCUGCAGCCGGGGAGUCUCAGUGCUCAAUGGGAACAGCUCUGCACAUUGCAUUUGGGUCCCUCCUCUGCUUAAACUCUUUAAUUUCCUGUGGCCGUAAGCACCGUAAGGAAGGUCUCGCUGCCCCAGGCUGGCCACCAUUACCUUUGAGUUAGAUUAUAUUCACACCUGUGAUAAAUAUUAACGACACAGUUCUGGUUUUUAGUUUCUAUCUGCAAUCUCUAGCCUAGAAAAUCAUGAGAGAUGCACACCCAAACCACCAGAAAUCAAGAGGGAGCCUUUGAAAGAGAGAGGUUUUCCAGAACAAGCUUUCUCGUUGUGAAAGGCUGAAACUAUUGCUCUCAUGUGAUUUAUAGUGCAAAAGUGUUCAGUCUUGUACAGCACCUGCAAUCCUCAGCAAUAAUUCAAGAACAGAGCAGCCUGUUGUUGAUACAGGGUAUCACUGGAGAAUAUAUAGAAUGCCUGCACGUGCUUUUCACACAGUUGAAAUCACCCUGAAUGUGCUACUAAUGUGUGUAAAUAUAUUUGCUAUUGUUGGCAUAAUCCACAAGCCCCAAAUGAAUGUGGCUACAGCAGAACCCUCUGGCUGCUCCAUCAAUUACUGCUCCUUUUCCAGCCGUGACCUGUACCUGCUCACAUCUUCCUAGAAACGAUGAAUGAUGAGAAUGAUUUAAUUUAUAGUUUCACCAUAAAUUAAGGCUUGUGUUACAAGUACGUAAUCUUUAGCAUUGUAAAGAAGCUACUAAUACAGUGAGACUCCUUACAAGACAGAGAGAAACAGUGUUUGCUACUGAGAGCCUGCAGCACUGCUCCCUGCAACGCUGGGGCUGAAGACUUCUGUUCCACCUUUGGACCUGGGCAGCACAGGGAAUCUCUUGGUAUCCAUCACCUGUUUUUUGGCUCUUUCUUUUUAUGCCUGUUCUUCUCUGCUGCUAAAUGAGGAAAUUCAUUUCACCCCAGACACGGCCACACCGCAGUCCUGAGGCAAUGAACCUGAUGCGAUGCUGGUAGAGGCCACGGAAGGUUUGGGAUUAGAUAUAUGUUUUCCUUACAAUAUAGUGUAGUAUCUAAGCAUCACUGGUAAAUGCCCCACGCUGUUGCGAGGAUUCAGCACCCCAGGCCCUGGGAGAUGCCCUGGAGCCAGCCCAGGGCUCAGGCUGCUGGUUCUGCUGUGCUGCCCAGCCCAGGUCCUCAGGGACAUCCUCCAGAGCCAAACCACGGAGCUGGAGGAAUGUACGCAAGGGAGAAAUGGCAAAACAGUAGUGCAUUUCAGGGCAGCUCCCAACUGAGGCACGCUGCAAAUACAAUCGUGACCCAGGCAAUUCUACCAGCAUGGGUGGCUGGGACAAGCGUUCGGUCUCAUUUUUUUCUAUCACCAAAAGAAGGCAUAGAGCUCUGCGCAGAAUAAUACUAAGGGUUGAUUGAUUGCAGAUUAAAAGCCUGAGUAAAAGCUUAGUGACGUCAAUGGAAAGAUUCUCAUAGGCUUGAGCCAGCCCCAAGACACUGUUAGACCGAUGGAAUGAGAUUUUCUUUUUUUAAAUGCAAUUGUUAUAAUGUAAAAGCUUCUGUUGGACAGAAAUAUCUCAUAGAAACAGAAUUAAAAAGCGGCCUCGAACAAAAGAACAGAUUUAGCCACCCAAGACUGCCAUUUCAUCAUGGAUUACUGUUUAUGUACUAUGAUGUUCCACAAUCAUGUGCUUUAUAUGGAGGAAAAGCUCAGGUGCACCGGCAGAGAGUUAACACCAUGAACUGGGUGCUUCCCGUGUCAGCCAGAAAAGACCUCUCCCAUACAGUAAAUGAAAUGGGUUUUUUUUACAAGGUUUUUCUAUGCCUCGAAGGAUCUGUGUGCUAUUGGGGAGAUCUUUACCAGCCUAGAGUGAUUCAGCCUCACUGCUCAUAGGAACGUGUCAUACUUGGCACAGGUGUGCAGGUGUCAUUGACAGCAUAGCCAGGACCCUGGCCCCUCUUGCCUGUAAUGUGUAUUAUCCGUAAGAAAAACACAUACAAGUAUAUCCAAUUUUAUAUCACAGGUUAUUGUCCUCUUUCAAAGCUAAGGAAUUUUCAUGAAGUGUGUAUACAUCUGGUAUCAGAUCAAUUCAAGCUU
rnacentral:lncRNA from 7 species